GAGAGAGAGACUGUGUGUGUGUGUGUGUGUGUGUGUGUGUGUGUUAGUUUAGGUUCGGGCGUAGCGAGGGAGAAGGCGAUGAGGGAGCGUGAACGAGAUACUUCCCCGAUCGCCGGUUCCUUGACGCGAUCAUUUUCGCAUACCUCCUGGAGCAACCGGUAGGCUCGCGGCCUCCGCUAUCGGUCGGCGAUGUCCGAAACGCCGUUCCUGAGAGCAAGAUCGAGUUCCGCGAGGGCGACAGUCGGAUCACCAUAUCCAGUGUCCGAGUCCACGCCGACAUCGUCGUCCUCGGGCAAUAGAGUGCUGGGAUUACGAAUCCCUCACCGUUCAGGGGGUCCAGGUGAGGCUGCUGAUCCAAGGCACUUUGUGCUGAUGGUGUGGCCAACAUUUAGCCACGCUUGCGCGCUGUUUAUUAGAUCUGUCGCAAUUCUGGCCCAAUGCUUCCAUGCUGUUUUUCUAGUUUUAGGCAUGAUUUCUUUUUCA